rnacentral:rRNA from 1 species
GACGAACGCUGGCGGCGUGCUUAACACAUGCAAGUCGAACGCUGAACCCGCUUCGGUGGGGGAUGAGUGGCGAACGGGUGAGUAACACGUGGGCAACCUGCCCCCGGCUCUGGGAUAACUCCAAGAAAUUGGGGCUAAUACCGGAUGUGACCGCUGGCCGCAUGGUCUGGUGGUGGAAAGGGUUUCCGGCUGGGGAUGGGCCCGCGGCCUAUCAGCUUGUUGGUGGGGUAGUGGCCUACCAAGGCGACGACGGGUAGCCGGCCUGAGAGGGUGACCGGCCACACUGGGACUGAGACACGGCCCAGACUCCUACGGGGGGCAGCAGUGGGGAAUAUUGCGCAAUGGGCGGAAGCCUGACGCAGCGACGCCGCGUGGGGGAUGACGGCCUUCGGGUUGUAAACCUCUUUCAGCAGGGACGAAGCGCAAGUGACGGUACCUGCAGAAGAAGCACCGGCCAACUACGUG